GAUGAACAGCAGCAUGGAAGUGUAAGCCGAAUAAACCCUUUCCUCCCCAACUUGCUUCUUGGUCAUGAUGUUUGUGCAGGAAUAGAAACCCUGACUAAGACAAAUUGGUACCAGGAGUGGGGUAUUCCUGUGACAACCUGACCAUGUUUUGGGGAGGUCUGUGGAAGGACUUUGGAACUUUGGUCUUGAAGAUCCAUUUGUUGUUAAGAGCUCUGUGGGAUGUUGUGUAGGAGCUUGGAAGAUAAUGUUGAGAACAGUGCAGAAGAUGGAGGCCUGGCUUGUGAAAUUUCAGAGGGAAAAUUAAAGACUCUUUUCAGGGCCAUUGCUGUUUUGAUUGUGAAGAUUCUGUAGUUCUGGUUAGCUGGGGCUGAAGAAUCAGCUGUGAUUAACAAGAUACCAGAACUACUGAAGCAAAAGCUUUGCAUUACUGGGACUAUUGAUGCUGGUUAGCUGGAGCUAAGAAAUUAGCGGUGAUUAAGAAGAGACCAGCAUCAUUGAGGUGACAUCUUCUGGGAAGUGUUUUCUGAGAGCACAGUGGCUGUGUUCCAGAUAUAGCCAAAGUUGUACCUUGUGCUGUGGCUGGACUUGGUAAUGUGUAAGAGUCACCCAGGUGGUACUGGUUUUGAAGGCAUGAAGGAGUUGAGCAGAACAGCUGAGGCUUGGCACUGUGAGAGGCCAUGGAAGGCCAUUGGUGAAAGUCCAGCCUCAUUUGCAAUUGAUGGCCCAGGACUGAAGGGGUCAUGCAGUGUUUUGGAGAUGCCAGUACCAUGAGAUGACCACCAAGAACAGCAGCAGCAGUGGAGUACAGGCAUCUGGAGCCUAGAGGAUGACGCGUGUGCUACAAAGGGCCUGGCUGGAGAAGUGACCCAAGCCCUUGGAGGAGCCCAGAAGAUUGUGAGUUGGAUCCCAGACAUUGGACAGUUGGAGAUUGACUUUUGCUUUUGAUUGUGACUGUGCCCUGAUAUUUCCCUCUUGAAGGAAGAAACUG
rnacentral:lncRNA from 1 species